rnacentral:rRNA from 1 species
UGCUUUUGCACAUUGGGUAGGGGAGCGUUCUGUAAGCGGUUGAAGGUGUGUGGUAACGCAUGCUGGACGUAUCAGAAGUGCGAAUGCUGACAUGAGUAACGAUAAAGGGGGUGAAAAACCUCCUCGCCGGAAGACCAAGGGUUCCUGUCCAACGUUAAUCGGGGCAGGGUAAGUCGACCCCUAAGGCGAGGCCGAAAGGCGUAGUCGAUGGGAAACGGGUUAAUAUUCCCGUACUUCUUACAAUUGCGAUGGGGGGACGGAGAAGGCUAGGUGGGCCUGGCGACGGUUGUCCAGGUUCAAGUGCGUAGGCUUAAGAGUUAGGUAAAUCCGGCUCUUUUUAAGGCUGAGACACGACGUCGAGCUACUACGGUAGUGAAGUCAUUGAUGCCAUGCUUCCAGGAAAAGCCUCUAAGCUUCAGAUUGUAAGGAAUCGUACCCCAAACCGACACAGGUGGUCGGGUAGAGAAUACCAAGGCGCUUGAGAGAACUCGGGUGAAGGAACUAGGCAAAAUGGUACCGUAACUUCGGGAGAAGGUACGCUCUCGACGGUGAAGUCCCUUGCGGAUGGAGCUAUUGAGAGUCGCAGAUACCAGGUGGCUGCAACUGUUUAUUAAAAACACAGCACUGUGCAAAAUCGUAAGAUGACGUAUACGGUGUGACGCCUGCCCGGUGCCGGAAGGUUAAUUGAUGGGGUUAGACUUCGGUCGAAGCUCUUGAUCGAAGCCCCGGUAAACGGCGGCCGUAACUAUAACGGUCCUAAGGUAGCGAAAUUCCUUGUCGGGUAAGUUCCGACCUGCACGAAUGGCGUAAUGAUGGCCACGCUGUCUCCACCCGAGACUCAGUGAAAUUGAAAUCGCUGUGAAGAUGCAGUGUACCCGCGGCUAGACGGAAAGACCCCGUGAACCUUUACUACAGCUUGGCACUGAACAUUGACCCUACAUGUGUAGGAUAGGUGGGAGGCUUUGAAGCACGUACGCCAGUAUGUGUGGAGCCGUCCUUGAAAUACCACCCUUGUAGUGUUGAUGUUCUAACGUCGACCCCUUAUCGGGGUU